GCAUAUCAAUAAGCGGAGGAAAAGAAACCAACAGGGAUUGCCCCAGUAACGGCGAGUGAAGCGGCAAAAGCUCAAAUUUGAAAUCCUCAGGGAAUUGUAAUUUGAAGAUGUUUGGGUCAAGGCUAGCAGAGGUUAAGUCCACUGGAACGUGGCGCCACAGAGGGUGACAGCCCCGUGAACCUCCUAAAGCCCCUUAUCCCUCUCAUCCAAGAGUCGAGUUGUUUGGGAAUGCAGCUCUAAGUGGGUGGUAAAUUCCAUCUAAAGCUAAAUACCGGCGAGAGACCGAUAGCGAACAAGUACAGUGAUGGAAAGAUGAAAAGCACUUUGAAAAGAGAGUGAAAAAGUACGUGAAAUUGUUGAAAGGGAAGGGCUUGCAAGCAGACACUUAAUUGGGCCAGCAUCGGGGCGGCAGGGAGAAAACCUCCCGGGAAAUGUACCUCUCGAGUGUUAUAGUCCCGGGCAUCCUCUCCCAUUCUGCCCCGAGGCCUGCGUAUCUAGGAUGC
rnacentral:rRNA from 1 species